GACGAACGCUGGCGGCGUGCCUAAUACAUGCAAGUCGAGCGAAUCUUGAGGUGCUUGCACCUCUUGGUUAGCGGCGGACGGGUGAGUAACACGUGGGCAACCUGCCUGUAAGACUGGGAUAACUUCGGGAAACCGGAGCUAAUACCGGAUAAUCCUUUUCCUUUCAUGAGGAAAAGCUGAAAGUCGGUUUACGCUGACACUUACAGAUGGGCCCGCGGCGCAUUAGCUAGUUGGUGAGGUAACGGCUCACCAAGGCGACGAUGCGUAGCCGACCUGAGAGGGUGAUCGGCCACACUGGGACUGAGACACGGCCCAGACUCCUACGGGAGGCAGCAGUAGGGAAUCUUCCGCAAUGGACGAAAGUCUGACGGAGCAACGCCGCGUGAGCGAUGAAGGCCUUCGGGUCGUAAAGCUCUGUUGUUAGGGAAGAACAAGUAUCGGAGUAACUGCCGG
rnacentral:rRNA from 2 species